GCGGGGGUCAGCAUUGUGGGCUCCUCCUGUUUCAGAGGAAGCACUGUGUAGACCACAUCGCUAGGCUCGUCUCUCUGGGGCCUUCAGAGUAUCUGUGUUCACCUGGGACGGGCUCCCUUACAGGCGGACAUGAAGUACGUUAUUUAAGAGAGACCAGACAUGUGGAUUUUUCGGUGAAAUCAGCCAGACUUUAAAUGUUUAGAAAAUGUGGACGGGCCUCCAGGUUGAUCAGCGUUCUUGGGACAGGUACCAGGCGGAGGCUGUCCACCUCCUCCAGCAGAAUGCCUCGGCCGCUGCCAGGGCCUUGCCCGAGGUGCACGUGCUGGCCAACUGCUGCAUCCUCAGGAAAACGUGGCAGGAGCUGAGCCAGCAACAUGUUCCGUGUGCAGACCUGGGCCUGGCUGUGCAAGGCACGAUCCAGCACAUUGAGGACCACAGCCGGGACAACCUCCUGCCUCGAGUCAGGGCCUUGUGCCAGAGUCUGCUAAGGGGCCACUUUGGGAAGAAGGACAAGGAUCUGGUUGGAGCUCUGCAGUCCCUGUGGCAGGGCCUGGAGGGCUGCCCCAACAUGCACUCUACUCCCACGUACAAGAGAAUCAUGCGAAGUUUGCACACGGUGGUCUUUGGGGAGUAUGUCCAGGCCCUGGCCACCCACCUCAGGACGCUGGAGCCUGGGACGUGGGAGGGCCUCGGGGUUCAGGUGGAGACAGACACCAGGAAGUUGCACGACAUCUUCACGAAGCAUGGGGUGAGCCGUGGCCGCUCGGGUAGGCUGAGUGCUGGGGGGCUUUAUUCUCCCUUUCCAGUUCUUGCCUCUCCUGGCCCCCUGCCUGGGCUAUGUGUGCUCUCCUCACUCAAACCACAAUCAGACCUGACAGCACUGGGCCUUGAAUCCCGCACACAAGGCUGGGGCCACCUGCUUUCAUGGCAAAGGCUGAGGUGGGGGCAGGGAUGUUGCAAGCUGGGGGGAGGCAGCCCCCGCCCCCCCAGGCCAGGACAGCCUGUGGGAGCUCAGGAGGUAACAUCAGCAGGACCAGGAAGCUCUGACCAGCAGUGA
rnacentral:lncRNA from 1 species